CUUCUAACAAGCACAUAUACUAAAAUUGCAGUAAUAUUGAGAUGAGCAUGGCCUCUGCACAAGGAUGAUGCAAUUCAUGAAGCAUUCCAUAUUAAA
rnacentral:snRNA from 1 species